AUGCCAUAUACUGACAUAGACUUCAGCUAUGUUAGUUGUGCCGCAUACUGCGCCCCUUUUCCCACGAAAAUCCUUGACCCCAAUGCCUCAACUAGUUUUGCCGCACCUUCAAAAAGCAAAGGUCUAGCCGCGGUCGCCCGAGGAGGCUUUCUUGGCAGAAGAAGUCUGCCAAUUAAUAAAUCAUCAAUCGCUAAGACAAAUUCCAUAAGAGAACCUAGUAGUGUUGAUGUUUUACUUACCACGGAGACACUAACCCUCCUGAGCAUCCCUGCUCCUUUGGCUCUGGGAAAUUUGGUCCAAAGUGUCCUUUUGACUCCUAUUGCACCACUAGAGCCAACGCCUGAGGAUAUUGCGGUCACUGCUGCGAGGGCAAUGGCUGAGUGGGGAUGUGCCUCAACGUCCUCAUGGAGCGAGGCAGAUUCCUAGUGGUCGAUCA
rnacentral:lncRNA from 1 species